GAGGCGGACAGCGGCUGCUCGGCUGCGGGGGAAACCAGCCCGCCGCCCCACGUCGCCGCCGCCGAGGCGAAACGGCGACAAUACCGCAGUGCAUGAGUGUUGUUCUCUCUCAGCGGAAAAUGCAGGUGCUCCUUGGGGCGUGUUUCUCUGCAAGCAGGAGCAUUCCUGCUUUCCUUGGUGAGCUGCACACUGGCUUUUGGGGCCUGUUUGCUUUGUUGAAGGUGUAGAGGCGGAAGGAACCACCUGCCCACCAUUUGCCUGGACCCUCUUGGAGGGUUACUCAUGUAGCCCCUGUGAAUAACU